rnacentral:lncRNA from 1 species
CCGAGACCGACCGUUAGAAUUCUUGAUGGAACGUUCCUAGAUUCUUAAUGGCGAUCCUCGUGACAGCGUGGUGAGGCAGGUAGAGCUUUAGCUCUGAGCAGCUUGGGGCCUUCCUCUGGCCAACAAACCUCAGAAUUGAAAGUUCCUUUAAUUAAAGAGUAUCCAAAGGUAAGAAAUCAUCCUCUGGAUGAUAUCACUGUCAUGAUAUCUUUCAGUU